rnacentral:rRNA from 1 species
AAAGCGUACGCAGGUGGCACAUCAAGUCUGUUGUUAAAGCGCGGAGCUCAACUCCGUAAAGGCGAUAGAAACUGGUGAGCUAGAGUAUGGUAGGGGCAGGAGGAAUUCCCAGUGUAGCGGUGAAAUGCGUAGAUAUUGGGAAGAACACCAGCGGCGAAAGCGUCCUGCCAAGCCAAAACUGACACUCAUGUACGAAAGCUAGGGGAGCGAAUGGGAUUAGAUACCCGGGU